UCUUCUGUCAGUUUGGGCCAGCCCACCUUCUAGUGACAUCAUCCGGUUAGUAAGGUGGGCAGUUUAAUGGCGGAUGAGCAGUGUUGGUCUGGAGGGGUUGCACUAAUUCCUGGCGAAUGUUAUGUGUGCGUAAAUGACAAGAAACCACAGACACACACACACCCACACCUAUGUACACUCGCUGUGUUUACAGCCCCAGAAAUUGAGUGUUGACAAUAAAGUGCCUCAAACGGAACCGCAAGCUCCCUUCUUCUUUCUACUCUGGGACAACUUGGCCUUAAGUGGUGUUCUGGCCGACACACCGGGGUCAGACAGGAGGACACACAGAGGAUGGAGGGAAGAAGGAGGAUUUACCUGUUGGACUGAUGUGCUUCUUGCUGCUGCUGUUUUUGGUUUUCUGAUCUACAAAAGACAGAAAGUGUAACAGGGUCAGAAUACAAAGCAGAUCUUCAAACAAAGAUAUUUUUCAGUGUCGUUGAACAGAAAACAUUAAAGAUUCUGAGUGAACUUUAACUGUUAGAAGAAAAACAUGAAGCAAAAACAACUUGACUCUGUUUUGAACUACUGAAAAAAAUAACUUUCACUCUGAUGUGAUUUUGAAUCCUGCCGUUAAAGAGUUGAUGAUUUCUUUAGCCGAUCUUUGGAACAUCAGUUUGGUCCCAGGAAAUCAGAUCAUGUACACCAGUCAUGAUUUUUAACUUUCAUAUUUCAAUUUACGCAAACCUGAUGUGUAAAUCAUAUGUCCCCUCAAUGCUGAUGGACCAAUCAGCUUGAAUUGUGUUGUGUGCGCGCGUGCUUGAAAUCUGAAUAUGUGUAAUACAUGUGAGAUAAUGUAUUAAUCAUGAAUGUUGACAGAAAUAAAUCACAUUUUGGAAAUUA